UCCCUCGUCCGUCUGAUACUUUGUCGUCCAUUGUUUUUUUUUCAAUCCCAAGUGUUCAUCAGCUCCAGUUCCCAACCUGAGCAGCAGCAAUCAGAAGAGAAGGCGAGAAAGGAAACCGGGUUGUUUCGGUUCCAUUUUGAUUCGACUGGAGGAGAUAUACGCACACCCAAAUCGAAUACAUAGUAGGGGGGAUGAGGCUGGUGGUGCGCGUCAUCGAGGCGCGGGGCCUCCCGCCCACGGACGCCGACGGGACACGGGAGCCCUACGCCAAGGCGCAGCUCGGGAAGCAGCGGGCCAAGACCAAGGUGAUGCGCAAGACGCUCUGCCCCGUCUGGGACGAGGAGUUCACCUUCCGGGUAGGGGACCUCAGUGACAACCUCCUCGUCUCCGUGCUCGACGAGGACCGCUAUUUCGCCGACGACGUCCUCGGCCAGGUCAAGGUGCCCCUCACCGCCGUGCUCGACGCCGACAACCGCACGCUCGGGAUGCAGUGGUACCAGCUGCAGCCCAAGAGCAAGAAGUCCAAGCUCAAGGAUUGCGGAGAGAUUCAUCUCAGCGUUUCUCUGGCUCAAAACUACUCCGACGAGACAACGGCACAUUGGGCCUCAGAUGACCAUGACCUUGCAUCGAAUUCAGACAAAUCAACUGAACUGGUGAAAGGAUCUUCUUUCUCAAAUAUUCCUAUAGAGGUACGCACACAAGUAUCAGAGGUCGAUGAGACAGAAGUUGCCAAGGAGGAUAAAUCAAACGCUGCCCCAUCAUUUGUCAACAAGCUAUAUCAAAUGUUUAAUAGUAAACCAAAAGAUGCAGAAGCUUCUGCUCCAUCUUCCUCCAAGUUGAACGACGCUUCAGAUAUUACCGAAGAAAUGCUGUCAACCAACUCUGAAGCUCCUGAUAAGCAGGAUCUUGAUGCCAGUGCAUCUAUGUCCUUCGAUGAGCUACUGAAGGCCUUUGGUUCUCGAGGUGAAGGGAAAGAAAUGCCUGAAAAUUUGUCAGGUGGAGUUGUUCUUGAUCAAGUUUAUGCUGUUGCACCGAGUGAUUUGAACACACUUCUUUUCUCUCCAAGUUCAGACUUUCUGCAAUCACUUGCAGAGAUUCAAGGAACUACAGGUCUUGAAAUUCAACAGUGGCGACUUGAAAAUGACGGUGAAAUCCUGAGGAGGGUGGUAAGCUACACAAAAGCUCCUACCAAACUAGUUAAGGCUGUGAAAGCAACAGAAGACAUGACAUAUUUGAAGGCAGACAGAGAGAUGUUUGCAGUUUUAGCAGAUGUUAGUACUCCUGACGUUCCUUUUGGCAAUACUUUCAGAGUUGAGGUUUUGACCUGUAUAAUACCAGGACCUGAACUACCAGAUGACGAAAAAUCUUCACGACUUAUGGUCUCUUGGCGCAUAAAUUUUGUCCAAAGCACCAUGAUGAAGAGCAUGGUUGAAAAUGGAGCAAAACAAGGCUUAAAGGAUAACUAUGUUCAAUUCUCUGAGCUGCUGGCUAAAAAUUUUAGGCCAGUUGAUGCAAAAGAUACAACAUACAGUAAUGAAGUCCUUUCUUCUGUGCAACCAGAGCAAGAAUCUGACUGGAAGCUAGCGUUUCGAGUAUUUGGAAAUUUCACACUUUUUUCCUCAGUUUUUGCAUUUGUUUAUGUUUCUGCACACAUCUUCCUUACAAGCCCUAGUAUAAUUCAAGGUCUUGAGUUCCCGGGCCUGGACUUGCCGGAUUCUGUUGGUGAAGUUGUAGUUUGUGGAGUUCUUAUUCUACAAGGACAGCGUGUGCUAAAUAUGGUUGCACGAUUCAUCCAGGCGAAGAGGCAGAGAGGUGAUCAUGGAGUUAAAGCACAAGGGGAUGGCUGGUUAUUGACUGUUGCUCUCAUGGAGGGAACUAACAUGGCAGCAACCAAAUCAUCUGAUUACUCUGAUCCAUAUGUUGUAUUUACAUGCAAUGGGAAGACAAAGACAAGUUCGAUUAAGUUUCACACCCUCGAGCCUCAGUGGAAUGAAAUUUUUGAGUUUGACGCCAUGGAAGAUCCUCCAUCAGUGAUGGAAAUACAUGUGUAUGAUUUCGAUGGACCGUUCGACAAAGUUGCCUCCCUUGGUCAUACUGAAGUGAAUUUCUUGAAAUAUAAUAAUAUAUCCAAGCUUGCUGACAUUUGGAUUCCUCUGAAAGGAAAGCUUGCUCAAGCAUGUCAGUCAAAAUUGCAUCUAAGAAUUUUCUUAAACAAUACAAGGGGUACUGAAGUAGUGAAGGAUUACCUGGACAAAAUGGAGAAAGAAGUUGGCAAAAAGAUUGCUAUGAGGUCCCCACACACAAACUUAGCAUUCCAGAAAAUAUUUUCUUUGCCACCAGAAGAAUUUCUUAUCAAUUAUUUUACUUGUCACUUAAAGAGGAAAAUGCUAACACAGGGUCGUCUUUUUCUAUCUCCAAGAAUAUUUGGGUUUUACACAAAUAUUUUUGGCCACAAAACAAAAUUCUUCUUACUUUGGGAAGAUAUUGAAGACAUUUUACUGGUCCCUGCAACCCUAUCCUUAAUGGGAAGUCCAUCUCUGGUGAUUAUUCUUCGAAAGGGCAGAGGAAUGGAUGCAAAGCAUGGCGCAAAGCAACUGGACAGUCAAGGGAGACUAAACUUCCAUUUCCAAUCUUUUGUCUCAUUCAAUGUGGCACAUAAAACAAUAACGGCACUGUGGAAGGCAAGGUCCUUGACCCCUGAACAAAAGGUAGAGCUUGUAGAAGAGGAAUCAGAAACAGAAGAGUUCCAAAACGUGGAAGGAGAAUCUUUCUUAGGGAUAGAGGAUGCCCAAAUGUCAGGAGUGUUCUCAUCCACAAAACCUUUUGAUGUAACAACACUCAUGGGCAUAUUUGAGGGUGGUCCUUUGGAGUGCCGGGUGAUGGAGAAAGUUGGCUGUAUGGACUACUCUGUUACAGCAUGGGAACCUGUCAGAGCUGAUAUUUACCAGAGGCAAGUUCAUUAUAAAUUUGACAAGAAAUCAGUACGGCAUGGAGGAGAAGCGAUGAGCACUCAGCAGAAGUCCCCUUUGCCUAAUAAGAAUGGCUGGCUUGUUGAAGAAGUGAUGACGCUUGAAGGUAUCCCUGUUGGUGAAUGUUUCAAUCUCCAUAUUCGAUACCAACUAGAGAACAAUGUAUCCAAGCAGAAGACUUGCACUAUCCAGGUAUCUAUUGGCAUAGUAUGGUUAAAGAACUGCAAGAACCGAAAAAAGAUCACGCAUGAUAUAGCAACCAAUGCAUCUUCUCGCCUGAAGAAGAUAUUCAGCCAAUUUGAGAAGGAACCUAUACCAGCAAAGUAGGAACCUUGUUUUUGUCUGCGUCCUACUUUUGCUGCUGCACAUAUGCUAGCACUAUGUAUUUUCUUGCUGCCCAUGCUGAGCAAAGAUCAGGGACAUAGUGAGGAAGUUGCAACCCAAGGCAAAGCCCUCAAGAAGACUUUUAUAAAGCAACCGUAUUGCAAGAUUUUAGAUUAGAGAACUGUACAGCCUGGAAUGUGGUUUAGCUUAACCAUGUAUACAUAACAUUCAAACAUUGUUUUUGACUUCUACAAAAAGGUAUCUUCAGAAUCAGGAAUUAGGUUGCGGGUAUACAGAAGCAUGGUCAAGACGAAGCUUGACUGGGACGGCGAUCAUGACGAAGGAUAAGAUGAUCACGAAGCUAUAUGCAGAAGAGCUUCGGCAUCACGGCGGAAAGGGGAAACCGACUUAAAGAUGAAAAGCCAAACUAGACCUCGAAGAAUUACUAUAGGGUUAUUGAUAAAUGUAAAGGGCAUUAUUGUAAUUUUGCAUGGGCUGCGUCCCGUGCCUAUAAAUAGGUGAACAGUAUCCCUGUACUGUUCACGCUGACUUGGCAUUCACUUUUACGCCACGCCUGUAUUUUCUUUCCUUCAAGCCGAAGGUACAUUUGUAAUUUAUCUUCGCAUACAUAAGUAAUACAAAUAGAAAUAUAUUAAUAA